GGCUCGUUGGUCUAGGGGUAUGAUUCUCGCCUUGGGUGUGAGAGGUUUUGGGUUCAAAUCCCGGACGAGCCC
rnacentral:tRNA from 1 species